CGGUAACAUUCCUAGCUUGCUAGAAGAUGACGAGUGGCGGACGGGUGAGUAAUGCUUGGGAACUUGCCUUUGCGAGGGGGAUAACAGUUGGAAACGACUGCUAAUACCGCAUAAUGUCUUCGGAUCAAACGGGGCUUCGGCUCCGGCGCAAAGAGAGGCCCAAGUGAGAUUAGCUAGUUGGUAAGGUAACGGCUUACCAAGGCGACGAUCUCUAGCUGUUCUGAGAGGAAGAUCAGCCACACUGGGACUGAGACACGGCCCAGACUCCUACGGGAGGCAGCAGUGGGGAAUAUUGCACAAUGGGGGAAACCCUGAUGCAGCCAUGCCGCGUGUGUGAAGAAGGCCUUCGGGUUGUAAAGCACUUUCAGUUGUGAGGAAAAGUUAGUAGUUAAUACCUGCUAGCCGUGACGUUAACAACAGAAGAAGCACCGGCUAACUCCGUGCCAGCAGCCGCGGUAAUACGGAGGGUGCGAGCGUUAAUCGGAAUUACUGGGCGUAAAGCGCACGCAGGCGGUUUGUUAAGCUAGAUGUGAAAGCCCCGGGCUCAACCUGGGAUGGUCAUUUAGAACUGGCAGACUAGAGUCUUGGAGAGGGGAGUGGAAUUCCAGGUGUAGCGGUGAAAUGCGUAGAUAUCUGGAGGAACAUCAGUGGCGAAGGCGACUCCCUGGCCAAAGACUGACGCUCAUGUGCGAAAGUGUGGGUAGCGAACAGGAUUAGAUACCCUGGUAGUCCACACCGUAAACGCUGUCUACUAGCUGUGUGUGCCUUUAAGGCGUGCGUAGCGAAGCUAACGCGCUAAGUAGACCGCCUGGGGAGUACGGCCGCAAGGUUAAAACUCAAAUGAAUUGACGGGGGCCCGCACAAGCGGUGGAGCAUGUGGUUUAAUUCGAUGCAACGCGAAGAACCUUACCUACACUUGACAUGCAGAUAACUUUCUAGAGAUAGAUUGG
rnacentral:rRNA from 1 species